GACGAACGCUGGCGGCGUGCCUAAUACAUGCAAGUCGAACGAAAGCGCCCGGUGCUUGCACUGGUCAAUCUAGUGGCGAACGGGUGAGUAACACGUGGGUAACCUGCCUAUCAGAGGGGGAUAACAUCCGGAAACGGAUGCUAAAACCGCAUAGGUCUUCGAACCGCAUGGUUUGAAGAGGAAAAGAGGUGCAAGCUUCUGCUGAUGGAUGGUCCCGCGGGGCUUUACCUAGUUGGUGAGGUAACGGCUCACAAAGGCCGUGAUGCAUAGCCAACCUGGAGGGGUGAUCGGCACAAUUGGGCCUAAGCAACGGCCCAAACUCCAACGGAAGGAAGCAGUAGGGAACCUUCGGCAAUGGACGCAAGUCUGCCGGAGAAAGGCCGGGGGAGUGAAGAAGGUUUUGGGAUCGUAAAACUCUGUUGUUAGAAAAGACAAAGUGCUAGAGUAACUGGUAGAGCUUUGACGGUAUCUAACAAGAAAGCCACGGCUAACUACGU
rnacentral:rRNA from 1 species